CCAGUCUGCUGCUACAAGAGCUCCAGAUCUGCCUCCAGAUCUCCUGCUGAAGAAUCCAGCUGAAGAAUGAAUCUACAGAUCUCCAGUUCUUGGUGUGUUUGGCUCCAGGUGUCCCUUCAGUCUCCAGUCGGCUGCUGCAAGAGCUCCAGAUGUGCCUCCAGCUCUCCCGCUGAAGAAUCCAGCUCAAGGUUUGAACAAAACAUGAUGGGGCUUCGUCGUGGCCCUGUGGAGUGGGAUGAGGAGGUUUACGGAGGGCCAGAGCUGGCAGAGACACCAAAUUUGGUAAGAAGCUGUAGUUUCUGUGUAUCUUGGUGUUAAACAAAAAUGAGACAGAUUG
rnacentral:lncRNA from 1 species